rnacentral:rRNA from 1 species
AGCGAACGCUGGCGGCAGGCUUAACACAUGCAAGUCGAGCGGGCGUAGCAAUACGUCAGCGGCAGACGGGUGAGUAACACGUGGGAACGUACCUUUUGGUUCGGAACAACUGAGGGAAACUUCAGCUAAUACCGGAUAAGCCCUAACGGGGAAAGAUUUAUCGCCGAAAGAUCGGCCCGCGUCUGAUUAGCUAGUUGGUGAGGUAAUGGCUCACCAAGGCGACGAUCCGUAGCUGGUCUGAGAGGAUGACCAGCCACACUGGGACUGAGACACGGCCCAGACUCCUACGGGUGGCAG